GGGCGGGGCUAGCCUGUCUAUAAAAAGGAGCGCGGCGAAUGCUGGGUCUUUCUUUCGGCGUGGGCAGCGAGGGCCCGUGCGGCGACCGGCGGCGGGGAGCGGCGGUAAAUAAAGCUUGUGUCACCCA